rnacentral:lncRNA from 1 species
UCACUCCUUUCCCAGACUCGUCCCAGCUAUAUUCUCAUUUCCUGAAGAGAACAGUGAAAGAAAAGGGUAAGCUCAACUAGCCCAGUAAGAAAUAUCGUGACUAAGAUAAUGCAGAAUAAAUUAUCAUUAGUCUUCAACAAUGUUAAACUAAUAAAAUAUAAUAGACAUCAAGUUUAAUUGCAGUGGAACAAGCAAUCCAUUAGAAGAGUCAAGUAGAGAAUAAAAUCUAUUAUCUACUAUCAUUUAAAAAGUUUUCAUCAAUUUUUAUCACUGAAACUCAGCUCAACAAAUAAACCACAUCAUCGAGUCAUCCCUGCACUACGGGCCAAGGAUAUUCAUUAAAUAAUCCAUGGUCAUGACUAUACCGAAUAAUCCCUGGUCAUAAUCAUACCAAAAACUGUCCAUCAAUGCACUACAGGCUACUGAGGACUUUUACCACCUCAUUUAUAACAUUACAGGUCAUGAUUAUACCGAAUGAUCCCUGGUCAUAAUCAUACAAAGUUCAUCUAUGCACGUAAGCCAAAGAUGACUUUUAUCAUAAUAUAAGCAUGACGAUGAUGACAAUGACAUAAUAAUUCAAUAAAACAAGUUCAAGAAUAAAUUUUAAAAAUUUAUAAGUUAAUUUAUCCUGAACUCAAUAAUGUCCAAAUUAUCAACAUGAUACUUCUUUGUGGAGUAAAAAUUCAAGAAUGUUCAGAAAAAUAUUUUCAUUAAAAGAUACUAGAUGAAGCGCAAAUAUCAAAGAUAUUUCACUAAUUUUAUGGAGUAUAGAAGUCAAAGCUUUAACCAACUAAGUAUAAGAGAAUAUAUAAAACUACAAAUGGAUUUUCGGCCGCCACGCGGUACUCCACUUAGACAGAUCAUUUCCAUAAUUUAAUAAGGAGUGAAUACAAAGGUUCAUUCACCAUGCAUGUGAUAAUCCACAUAGACAGGUUAUUCCAACAGAAUGAUAAAGAAUGGAAUAACAGAAGAAAUAAUCAUGCAUGCGAUAAACCGCACAGACAGGUUAUUCCAACAUAAUAAUAAAGAAUGAAACUAGGUCAUGCGUAAACAUACUGACAGGAUAUUCCGACAGAAUAAUAAAUAAUGGAACCAGGUCCGGCGUAAACGCACAGACAGGAUAUUUCGACAGAAUAAUAAAUGAUGGAACUAGGUCCGGCGUAAACGCACAGACAGGAUAUUUCGACAGAGUAAUAAAGAACGGAAUAAUAGAAGAAUUUCACCAUGUAUACGGUACUUCGCAUAAACAGGUUAUUCCAACAUAAUAAUGAAGAAUGGAAUAACAGAAUAAUUUCACCAUGUAUGCGGUACUUUGCAUAAAUAGGUUAUUCCAACAGAAUAAUAUGGGAUGGAAUAACAAUAGCUCUCUUCAUGAAUACGAAAGAAAUAAUACCCCUUACCUCAGAAGAAACUGGAUACUGGAAUAGUGACGUAGCAGGCUUCUCUUCUUCUUUCUCUUUAUAGAUUUUCCCUCUAUAGCUUCUCUCUAUAAUUUCUCUCUAUAAUAAUUGUUCUAUAGCUUUAGUGAAUUGGAGAGAAAUGAAGGAAGAAUGAGCUUCUAUUUAUAGAAAAAUAUAGUUUUGAUAAUUGCACGUUUUGGGGCUCGAAAAAUUACAGUACAAUACCUCCAACUUUUCUUUCAUUUUUAAUUUAGUCCUGCAAGUAUUAUCAAACUUGCACCACCUCCCCUAAUAGUAAAUAAUGUGAAUCAAUAGUUCAAUUAUGUUAAUCAAUAGUUAUAAUCAUGUGAAAAUACGAAUUACGGUAUAGUACCUCCAUCUAUACUUCCAUCUUUAAUUUAAUCAUGCAAGAAUUAUCAAUCUUGCACCAAUUCCCCUAAUAGUAUAAGAAUGUGAUUCAAUAGUACACACAUGUGAACAAAUAGUUAUAUAAGCAUGUGAAUUAGUAGCAAUUAAUUGAUCAUUUAUCCGAUAAAUUCCCUGAUUUAUCAAUAUAACCCCCAGACAUCAAUUAUCAUCUGAAUAGAUGUCGAUUACCACUAACAUUAAUAAUCCCAACACAAUGGAACUAUCAAAUUCAUCUUUAAUCAAUAUGAAAUUAUUCAUCAUUAAUAUUAUAACUCAUAAUAUUUAACAACCAGGUCGUUCUCAGGAAAGAGGGGGCUUUCCAAUAAGGAUUUCUCCCUAUUGGCGCGCAAUUAGGUGACCAAACCUCUCCUUGGCAGAAGUUCUAGACAUUAUAAAUAUUACAAUUUAAUAAUAUGAAUAACUUUAUCGUCUCAAUUAUUGAUUUAAUAAUAUAUCAUAUAGUGCAGAUGAUACUGUGACAAUAAUCGAAUCAAUAAUAUGAGAGAUAUGAUGCAAUAAUUACUGUAGCAAUAAUUAAGUAUAACUGAGUGACUUCUCACGUAAGCAUCAAUAACCAAUACCGUGUGCUACUAUGCAACCACGCGUAUUACUAUACUUUUACUACCGUGUAGUUCAACAGUUUUAACGAUAACACUUUCGCCUUUAUUUUUAUAACAAGAUAAUUCUGUCAUUUUCUUACUACGACAAUACUUCCGUUGUGGGGUCCACCAAUGAUUGUGCCGUCGUAUGAAUAUUCCCUGUUAAAACGAAUAUUCCCCGACCAAUCGAAUAUUAUAUAACCACUUGAUUACUUUGCAAAAUUUGUAAAUAUUACCCACAACUAUAACAUUAUAUAAUAUUCACACCAUAAUAUUCAAAAAUAUGUUUCGAGAGAAAUUAAUCUUUAUUCAUAAAAGUUGGGGUCUUACAACCUCCCCUUCUUAUGAAAUUUCGUCCUCGAAAUUAGGGUGUGUACCUGGUAUAUCGAAGAGGUGAGGAUAUCUUGACUUCAUCUCAGAUUCUAACUCCUAGGUCAUUUCUUCCACAUCGUGAUUUCUCCACAAAACUUUGACUUGAGGUAUAACCUUGGAGCAUAGAAUAUGAUCCUUCUUUUCCAAGAUUUUAACAAGUAACUCUUCAUACGUUAAAUCUUCCUCUAUCUCGUCUGGUUCUAAUUCAAUAAUGUGAUUCGGGUCUUUCACAUAUUUACGUAACAUAGAUAUGUGGAAAACGUUAUGAACAUGAGACAUACUUGGCGGUAAGGCGAGUCUAUAGGCCACAGUUCCUACUCGUUCGAGUAUUAUAAAUGGGCCAAUGAAUCGAGGAUUGAGUUUUUCUCUCUUUCCAAAUCUUGUAACUCCUUUCCAUGGAGCAACACGUAACAACACAUGAUCUCCAAUAUUGAAUUCCACGUCCUUUCGAUAAAGAUCAGCAUAACUCUUUUGUCGAUCUUGUGAGGUUUUUAUACGUUGUCGGAUUGUUUGAAUCUUUUCCGUAGUCAUACGUACCAAAUCCGGUCCCAACAACAUUGCUUCACCCACCUCAUCCCAACAUACUGGAGAACGACACUUUCUUCCAUAUAACGCCUCAAAUGGAGCCAUGCCAAUACUUGCUUGAUAACUAUUGUUGUAGGAAAACUCCACCAAUGGUAAGAACUUAUUCCAACUUCCCUUGAAGUCAAGGACACAUAGUCUUAAUAAAUCCUCAAGAGUUUGAAUAGUCCUCUCUGAUUGUCCGUCCGUUUGAGGAUGAUACGCCGAACUAAAUCGUAAAUUCGUGCCCAUAGCUUUUUGCAAACUAACCCAAAAUCUUGAAGUGAAUCUUGGGUCUCGAUCAGAAACUAUGGAUACUGGCAUACCAUGCAGUCUUACAAUCUCGUUUAUGUAUAUACGAGCAAGACGUUCAAAUGUAUAAGUUUCUCGUAUCGGUAAGAAAUGAGCAGACUUGGUCAAUCUAUCAACAAUGACCCAAAUCGCAUCUAUGCCUUGAGAAACCUUGGGAAGACCAGUAACGAAAUCCAUGGUAAUGUGCUCCCACUUCCAUUUUCAAGUGGUUGCAAUGGACCUUUUGGCACUUGAUGCUCCGCCUUGACUCGUUGACAAGUUAGACACCUUGAGAUAAACAGCGUUAUCUCUCUCUUCAUAUUGCUCCACCUAAAUGUAUGUCGAAGAUCACGAUACAUUUUGGUACUCCUAGGAUGGAUUGCAAACGGUGUGUUGUGCGCCUCCAUCAUGAUUUUAUACUUCAAAUCAGAAUCGUUAGGAACACAAAGUCUGGAGUUGACUCGAAGUAUUCCUUCUUCAUCGAUUCUUGCUUCCGGAAUAGCACCUUCUUGUACUUUUUUUCUCAUACGUAUCAGCUCUAGGUCUGUAGCUUGAGCAGCUUUAUCUUUAUCGAUUAAAGUUGGUUCCACUCGUAUAUUCGCCAUCAUCACAUGGGUCCCUGGAGUCUUUAACUCUAUUUCCAUCCUUUCCAAGUCAUACACAAUGGGCCUUUGCAUUGACAAUAAUUCACUCGUGCCCGCAUAUGAUCUUCUACUCAAUGCGUCAGCUACUACGUUCGUUUUUCCAGGAUGGUAUUGGAUGGUAUGAUCAUAAUCUUUCAACAACUCAAGUCAUCAUCGUUGUCGCAUGUUGAGUUCCUUUUGAGUGAAGAAAAUAUUUGAGGCUUUUAUGAUCCGUAUAGAUCUCCACCUUCUUUCCAUACAGGUAAUGCCUCCAAAUCUUAAGUGCGAAGACAACAGCUGCCAACUCUAGAUCAUGAGUAGGAUAAUUCUUCUUAUAUUCUUUGUCGUGAGGCAUAAGGUAUGACUUUCCCAUGUUUCAUGAGAACACAUCCUAACCCUUUACCUGAAACAUCACUGUAAAUGACAAAUCCCUCUGUGCUAGAUGGUAUUGUCAGAACAGGUACUGAAAUGAGUCUCCUCUUGAGUUCUUAAAAACUCUUCUCACAUUCCUCGCUCCAACUGAAUUUUGUAUCUUUUCGAGUCAGCUGCAUUAAUAGAGUAGCAAUUCAAGAAAACCCUUCUACGAAUCUCUGAUAAUAACCAGCUAAGCCGAGAAAGCUACGUACUUCAGUUACUUCAAUUACUGACUUAGGUUGCUCCCAACUUUGAAUUGCUUCAAUCUUUGCCAGGUCAACAAAUAUUCCAUGAUUUGAUAAUACGUGCCCAAGGAAUGCUACUUCCUCAAGCCAGAACUCGCAUUUCUUCAACUUGGCAUAUACCUUGUUUUCACGAAGCUUUUUAAGUAUCAGCCUCAAGUGUUGCUCAUGGUCUUCACGGGUUUUGGAAUAAAUGAGGAUGUCAUCAAUAAAGACGACCACAAAGUGAUCCAAAUAUUCCUUGAAUACUCGGUUCAUCAUAUCCAUGAAGGCAGCAGGAGCAUUAGUCAAUCCAAAAGACAUGACUAUGAAUUUAUAAUGCCCAUACCGAGUUCUGAAAGCAGUCUUUGGAAUGUCAUCAGUUUUAAUCUUCAACUGAUGAUAUUCAGAACGAAGAUCAAUAUUUGAAAAGAAUUUGGCGCCUUGCAACUGGUCAAACAGAUCAUCAAUACGAGGUAACGGGUACCUAUUUUUUAUGGUGAUAUAAUUCAACUCCCGAUAAUCAAUACAAAGUCGCAUACUUCCAUCUUUCUUCUUCACGAAUAGGACAGGAGCACCCCAAGGAGACGUACUAGGACGAAUGAAACCGAUGUCUAACAAUUCCUGUAGUUAGGUUUUUAACUCCUGAAGUUCAAUAGGAGUCAUUCGAUAUGGGGCUUUGAAAAUGGGUUUUGUACCGGUUUCAAGAUCGAUACAAAAUUCAAUUUCACGCUCUGGGGGUAGGCCAGGAAGUUCUUCAGGGAAUACGUCAGGAAAUUUAUUAACAAUAGAAAUAUCAUUCAAAUCUGACGUAUUUUUAUUUAAAUCCGUGACAUGGGCUAAGAAAGCUUGACAUCCGUUUUUCAAUAAACGAAUAGCUUUAUGGCUUGAUAUGACAGUGAUUGAUUUUAGUGGUUUGGCUGCUUGAAUUCGUAUAAUAGGUUGGUUAGGAAUAUGAAAGCUAACAACCUUACGAAAACAAUCGAUUUUAGCAUGAUGAAUAGUUAACCAAUCAAUCCCUAAAAUCACAUCAAAUGCAAGUAUUUUCAAAGAAAUAAGAUUGACAGAUAACGUGCGGUUACCGAUUUGAAUCAAACAAGACUUAUAAACAGUGGAUGUAAUGAAGGUUUCUCCCAACGGAGUUUCAACUGAUAAGUCAAGGUCUAAUUUCUCCGGAGUCAAAUUUAAACGUUGAGCGCAAGUAGGAGAAAUGAAAAAAUAGGUAGAACUAGUAUCAAAUAAAGUAUAAAUUUCGCUAGACUUUAUGAUUAACUUACCUGUGAUCACCUCGUUCGGAUUCCUCACUUUUUGGGAGGUCACGACAAACGCUCUUCCUUGAACUACCGAUUUUGUCUUGUCUGGGACCCCCUUUGAUGCCUCCAUCCCAGCUGGACUUGACUUUGGUACACGGCAAAAUCGGGCUAGGUAGCCUUCUUUUCCACAAUUAUAACAUGCUUUGGACUACAUCGUGCAGUUUGGACUUAUGUGUCCUUCCCCUCCACAUUUGUAACAUACGACCGGCGGUCGUUCUUCUUCCUUAACAGCGAGUGCUGGUGCUGACGUCUUUCAAUCUUUGCUGAACCUUCUCUUCUUGAACUUUCCACUCCUAUUGUCAUGGCAAUGAUUACCACCGAAGUGGUUAUCACUUCUGGCAAGUUGAUUCCCUCUGCGUUAUUCAUUGAAUCAUCCAUGGUCAUAACUAUACCGAAUAAUACCUGGUCAUAAUCAUACCAAAAAUUGUCCGUCAAUGCACUACAGGCUACUAAGGACUUUUACCACCUCAUUUAUAACAUUACAGGUCAUGAUUAUACCGAAUGAUCUCUAGUCAUAAUCAUACAAAGUCCAUCUAUGCACUUAAGCCAAAGAUAACUUUUAUCACAAUAUAAGCAUGAGGAUGAUGACAAUGACAUAAUAAUUCAAUAAAACAAGUUCAAGAAUAAAUUUUAAAGAUUUAUAAGUUAAUUUAGCAUGAACUCAAUAAUAUUCAAAUUGUCAACAUGAUACUUUUUUGUGGAGUAAAAAUUCAAGAAUGUUCAGAAGAAUAUUUUCAUUAAAAGAUACUGAAUGAAGUGCAAAUAUCAAAGAUAUUCCACUAAUUUCAUGGAGUAUAGAAGUUAAAGCUUUAACCAACUAAGUAUAAGAGAAUAUAUGAAACUACAAAUGGAUUUUCGGCCGCCACGCGGUACUCCACUUAGACUGAUCAUUUUCAUAAUUUAAUAAGGAAUGAAUACAAAGGUUCAUUCACCAUGCAUGUGAUAAUCCACAUAGACAGGUUAUUCCAACAGAAUGAUAAAUAAUGGAAUAACAGAAGAAAUCAUUAUGCAUGCGAUAGACCGCACAGACAGGUUAUUCCGACAGAAUAAUAAAUAAUGGAACCAGGUCCGGCGUAAACGCACAGACAGGAUAUUCCGACAGAAUAAUAAAUGAUGGAACCAGGUCCGGCGUAAACGCACAGACAGGAUAUUCCGACAGAAUAAUAAAUGAUGGAACCAGGUCCGGCGUAAACGCACAGACAGGAUAUUCCGACAGAGUAAUAAAGAACGGAAUAAUAUAAAAAUUUCACCAUGUAUACGGUACUUCGUAUAAACAGGUUAUUACAACAUAAUAAUAAAUAAUGGAAUAACAGAAGAAUUUCAUCAGAUUAUUCAAUAAGGAUUUCUACCUAUUGGCGCGCAAUUAGGUGACCAACCUCUCCUUGGCAGAACUUCUAGACAUUAUAAAUAUUAUAAUUUAAUAAUAUGAAUAACUUUGUCGUCUCAAUUAUUGAUUUAAUAAUAUAUCAUAUAAUGCAGAUGAUACUGUGACAAUAAUCGAAUCAAUAAUAUGAGAGAUAUGAUGCAACAAUUACUGUAGCAAUAAUUGAAUAUAACUGAGUGACUUCUCAUGUAAGCAUCAAUAACCAAUACCGUGUGCUACUAUAUAACCACGCGUAUAACUGUACUUUUACUACCGGAUAGUUCAACAGUUUUAACAGUAACACUUUCGCCGUUAUUUUUAUAACACGAUAAUUCUAUCGUUUUCUUACUACGAUAAUACUUCCGUUGUGGAGUCCACCAAUGAUUGUGCCGUCGUACGAAUAUUCCCUGUUAAAACGAAUAUUCUCCGACCAAUCGAAUAUUAUAUAACCACUUGCUUACUUUGUAAAAUUUAUAAAUAUUACCCAAAACUAUAACAUUAUAUCAUAUCCACACCAUAAUAUUCAAAAAUAUAUUUUGAGAGAAAUUAAUUUUUAUUCAUAAAAGUUGGGGUCUUACAAUAUUUAGUCUAGGACGCCAAAAUCGCUCCAGCAGAUGGACUAUAUUUAGUCGAUCAACUUUUUCGGCCGCUCAAAACGACCAAAUCUGCGAACGAAAAAUCAGCCAGACUAUAAUUUAAUAUAAUUAAAUGGAAAACUCUCUGUUAAAGAAAUUGAAGAAAAAAAAUAAGAAAAACUCUGUUGAAGAAGAUCUGUCGAAGAAGAAGGAGAUGAAGUGAGAGAACUGAAAGUGAAGUGAAGAAGAGAUGAACGGUAAUAAAGUACAAUCCAACGGAUAGAAAAAAAAAAUUCAGAACGGUAAUAAAGAGUACAAACGGAUAGAAAUUGAAAGCCUAAUUGGAAAUCUAUAAAUAUGUAUAAUAAUUCAAUUUAUUUUAUAUCUUUCAAUCAACUACUCCAACAUUUAGCAAUUGUAAGUAUUUUAUUAAUAAUAGUUUAUAUUUUUAUUAUAUUUGAUUUUUGUUUUUUAUUGAUAAUAUCUCUUUAAUUUAUUUUUUAGAUAAAAAAUUAUGAUCCUCCGAUGUAUUAUUCUUCAUUAUUAUCUGAAGGUUUCUCACUUGAUGAUCCAAAUUUGUUGGAUGAAUUUUCAAUUCAAAUUGAUGUACCAAUUCAGACUCCCAAAAAUGAGUCCAAUAAAAGAACAGGGCAAAAGAGAAAUUACACAAUUGAAGAAGAUGCUCUUCUUGUUUUCGAAUGGCUUAAUGUAAGUAUGGAUCCAAUUCAAGGAAACGAUCAAAAACAUGAAAGAUAUUGGGAAAGAGUUCACAAAUACAAAAAUUUUGAAUCUAAACGUAAUUCUACUGCUUUGGCGAAACGUUGGUCAACAAUUCAACUCGUGGUGAACAAAUUUUAUGGAUAUUAUGCUUCAAUUGAAAGAAUGCAACAAAGCGGUGUAAGCGAACAAGAUAAGGUAUUUCAAUUUUUUCAUAUAAAAUUUCAUUAAGUUUUAUUCUUAUAUUUUAUAUUUAAUACUUUGUAAAUAAUUUUUCAAUAGAUAUGUCAAGCAUUAGAGAUGUUCAAAAGUAUGCAAAAUCAACCAUUUGAAUUUAUGCAUUGUUGGAGAAUAUUAAAAGAUGCACCGAAAUAGAGAACAGAUAAUAGUAGAAAAAAAUAGAAAAAUAAUAGAAAGUCAAGUCCAACAGCAUCUUCUCCAUCAACUACAGAAGAAGUCAGUUUGGGUAAAGACGAUGGUAUUGAAGAUACAAUCUCUGCAAGAUUAGAGAGACCAAUAGGAAAAAAGGCUUCAAAAGCAUUAUUUAAAAAGGGCAAAGAAAUCGGUGAUACUAGUACACCUAUGGAGUUGAUGUUUGAGAAGUUCGAGCAUCAGAUUAAAUUGAACCAACAAAAGAGACAAGAGAACAUGGACAGAAUAUAUUUUCAAGAGCAAGAGAAGUUGAAUAUACUAAAAGCACAAGAAAAUGAAAGGAUCAUGAUGAUUGACACUGCUAACAUGGAGCUUAAAGUAGCUAAAUAUUACAAACAACGUAAGAAAGAAAUCAUGAAAAGAGUUACAUCUAAUAAUUGACUGGCUUAUUAUUGUAGUAGAAUAUAAUAGAGCCUGAAGUAGCUUAAUUUCCUUAUUAUUGUAGUAGAAUGUAAUGGAUUAGGCUCGGCCAUGUAGUGACCACAAGUGUUGAAUAAUAUCUUCUUGCAGUUUAGAAUGAACUUGUUUAUCCCUUAUGAAAGUAAUUGUGGGGUACGCUCAUGAGACACUUCUACAGUUGAAAUCUCGUCAUGUGUAUCGUAGGUUGUUGGUUCUUGAUUUUCAUCUCGUUCAUCUUCAACUAUCAUAUUAUGUAAUAUUAUGCAUACAGUCAUAAUUUCUUUUAGUGUUGUUUAAUCCCAAAAUCGUGCAGGACCACGAACUAUCACAAAACGUGCUUGCAGUACCCCAAAUGCUCGCUCAACAUCCUUUCUAAGCGCCUCUUGAGUCUUAGCAAAUAGUUUUCUUUUAUUUCCCUAAAGUGCCAAAAUGAUUUUAACAAAUAUUGUCCAUGGGGAAUAUAUACCAUCAACAAGAUAAUAUCCCAUCGUGUACUCAUUUUCAUUAAUUGAGUAGCUCACUGGUGGAGCACGACCUUCAGUAAGAGCAGAAAAGAUAGAUGAUCUCUCCAAAACGUUAAUAUCAUUAUGAGAGCUUGGUAAUCCAAAAAAUGCAUGUCAUAUCCAAAGAUCGUAUGAAACCACCGCUUCUAAAAUAAUUGUUGGCUCGUGCACAUAUCCAAAAUACAUAUCAUGCCAUGCAACUAGACAAUUCUUCCAUUUCUAAUGCAUACAAUCGAUGCUCCCCAACAUCCUAAGAAAACCACGCUCUUCAACUUUUGAUAGCAAUCUAACGAUGUCAUUACUAUUGGGUAAUCUCAAAUAUUCAUCACCAAAAAUUGAAAUGAAUGCUUUUACAAACCUUUUAAGACUCAAUAUAGCCAUGCUUUCACUGAUUCGCACAUAAUCAACGGAAUCCGCUGAAACACCAUAGGCAAACAUCCGUAUUGAGACAGUUAUCUUUUGUAGAGAAGAUAAACCGAGAUGUCCUGCAGCAUUCAUUUUUAGUACGAAAUAUGAAUUAUACGCUUCAACUGCUCUUUGAAUUCAGAAGAAAAACAGACACCACAUUCUAAACCUUCUCCAAAAUAGAUACCGAGGAGGGGGGUAUGUAGAAUUUUCUACAAAAUAAUCACAAAAAAAUCGAUUAUGACCUUCAUGUCUACCACGAUCAAUGAUAAUACAACCUUACACAGAACCACGAUGACGUAAUGUAUACCUAUUGACAUUUUUUUUUUCUUCUACAAUAACCAACAUGCCUAAUAAUUGUCCAUAUACUUUUUCAUCUUCUUCUUCAUCCACGUGCAACAUAACUAAUUCAAAUUAACAAGACAUUUAAAAUAACUUAUUUGACUGAAAAAAUAAAAUUAAAAUGAAUAAAUAUGAAAGAUUAGAUGCGACAUAUAUUUUAUAAAUACUAUUUAUUUAUUAAAAUAUAACCAUUAUAAUAUGACCGUUAAAAUAUGACCAUUAAAAUAUAGUCGUUGAAUUAUGCCCGUCAAAAUUUUUUUGAAUUAAUUGAUUAUUUUAAUUAUUUUAUAUUAUAAUCGACGAGAUAAUCCACAAGAUAGUCCAUCUGUUAAAAAAGAGCGAAGACUAAAAAACAUUUGCUAAUAUCAGAUAGACUAAAUAUAGUCCAGCAGAUCUAUCUAUUGGAGAUGCUCUAAACAGAAAUAGAUCAUAACUACAGUGAAGUUUAUCGGAUAUGCUUAGAUAUGGAGUAUGCAAGAAUUUAUGACAUCUAAUGUACUCAGAAAAAGGAUUUAACUAGCACAACUUUGCAGAAUUGUAACCCAACUCAGCGGCUUUAUCAUAAAAGUUUUGACAAAAAAAUAACCCACAACAGUUUAAAAUGAUAAUUGAGAAGAAAUAAAUGUCUAGCAUAGGAAGUUUUGAACUAUCAGCUCCAGCCAAAAACCAAAUAUAACUCAACACAUACAAGCAGUGAGUAAUCAAUCUUACUCAUGACAAAAAAUGAGAAGUGAUUUCAGCCAGUCCCAACACAAUAAACAAAGUAUACCAUUUAUGGACAGAAUAGAUGAGAUAGAGAAUAUACCUGAAAGAACAAUAUACAUUUAAAUAUACAUACAGAUUUUAAACAAUGUAUAGAUAUGCAUGUACAAAUACUUUAAUUACUUAAAAUACAUUCGUGUUUAAAAAAAACUGUAGAUAAGAAAUUUGUUGUUUUUGAAAGAAAUUUUAAUAUACUCUAAAAAAAUUACAAAUCUAGUCACGAAAAUUAGGAUUUAAACAGUUGUCACAAUCGUUGUUAAAAAAAUGAUUUGUUAGAUUAGAACUCAGAUCUUGAGCACUAAAUCUAACUAAAUUUGUUUAUCUGAAAACUCAUUUAAUCAAAAUGAACAACGAAACUUAACAGAUGAGAACGUUAAGAGUUUUCAGAUCUACAAACUUAGGGUUUUCCCCUUUUUAAAAAAAAAAUUGACACAAAUUAACACCAAAUACUGGUUUUUGAAAAAUAGAUUUUGAGAUAUAAAACUAUCCAUACUUAUUAAAAAAAAAAUCAGAGAAAGCCAACGGACAAAAAUGAACUGCAGAGAAAAACAAAAAGUAGAAUCAAACAAAUAAUUAGUAGAAGUAUGAUUUUGAGGGUGAUGAAUCGAUUGAUAGGAGCAGAUUAAUCGAAAUUGAAAUAAAAAUCAAGGACUUUUUACAGAGAACAGGGUUAGGGUUGAGAGAAUUUUGGGGAGAGAGAAAUGAGAUCCGGAAGAUAACAGAGAAGAGGAAGAGAAAUGAAAUUAAAAAU